rnacentral:rRNA from 1 species
UUUAAGCAUGUAGGCUGGUUAUCCAGGCAAAUCCGGAUAAUCAAGGCUGAGGUGUGAUGACGAGGCACUACGGUGCUGAAGUAACAAAUGCCCUGCUUCCAGGAAAAGCCUCUAAGCAUCAGGUAACACGAAAUCGUACCCCAAACCGACACAGGUGGUCAGGUAGAGAAUACCAAGCGCUUGAGAGAACUCGGGUGAAGGAACUAGGCAAAAUGGUGCCGUAACUUCGGGAGAAGGCACGCUGGUGUGUAGGUGAAGCCCCUGCGGGUGGAGCUGAGACCAGUCGAAGAUACCAGCUGGCUGCAACUGUUUAUUAAAAACACAGCACUGUGCAAACACGAAAGUGGACGUAUACGGUGUGACGCCUGCCCGUGCCGGAAGGUUAAUUGAUGGGGUUAUCCGUAAGGAGAAGCU